UACAAAGUUUACAGUUUUAUUUCCCAAAGAUAAAAUAAUUUCUUUUUUUUUUUUCAGUUUUCUUUUCCAGUUCAGUCAGUUUUUUCUUUUUUUAUCAGCGAAGGAAAAGGAUAUAGAAAGAAUAAUCAGAGCAGCAGAAAUGUCGGAGCCAAAAGACCCGGCAAUCAAGCUAUUUGGGAAGACGAUUCCUUUGCCGGAUAUCUAUCAGGGAGGUACUAUUACUACUACUGUUACUUGUUGUGGUGUUGGUGGCAUCGUUGUUGUUGAUGUUGAUAGUCAAGAUCAAGAUCAGGACUCUUCUCUUGAAGAGAGCAAUACCAAGGGAGAUGUGGAAGAGAGAGAAAGUGAUAAGGAUGCAGUGGGAGAAAGAACAAUGGAGAGCAAAUGGGAAAAUGAAGCCCAAACUGUUACUUCCGAUGAGUCAUCAAAUCCUGAUACAACCUCUGGGAUAAGUGAGAACCAUAAGACUCCUUCUGCUGAGAAAGAGAAUGCUGCAUUAAAAACUUCAAAGACAGAGGAAGAGCAGAGUGAUACAAGUAAUUCACAAGAAAAGAGUCCCAAAAAACCUGACAAAAUCCUUCCAUGCCCUCGCUGUAAUAGUAUGGACACCAAGUUCUGUUACUACAAUAAUUACAAUGUGAAUCAACCCCGGCACUUCUGCAAGAAUUGCCAGAGAUAUUGGACAGCUGGGGGGACUAUGAGGAAUGUACCUGUUGGUGCUGGUCGUCGAAAAAACAAGAACUCAGCUUCUCAUUACCGCCACGUAACUGUUUCUGAAGCUCUUCAGAAUGUUCGAACUGAUAUUCCUAGUGGCAUCCACCAUCCUGCUUUGAAAACUAAUGGGACAGUCCUCACCUUUGGCGCAGAUACUCCACUUCAUGAAUCAAUAGCUUCUGUGUUGAAUCUUGCUGAUAAAACAGUGCAUUGCACAAGAAAUGGGUUUCACAAACCUGAAGCAUUAGGGAUUCCAGGUUCUUAUGGAAGUGUGGGAAAUGGGGAGAACUGUUCUAAUAGAUCUUCAGUCUUGGCAUCAAAUUCAAAGGAUGAGGCAAGCAAAAGUGGGUCACAAGAGUCAGUGCUGAAAAAUUGUCAGGGCUUUCCACCUCAGAUACCAUGUUUUCCUGG
rnacentral:misc_RNA from 1 species